rnacentral:rRNA from 1 species
CCUACGGGAGGCAGCAGUGGGGAAUAUUGGACAAUGGGCGAAAGCCUGAUCCAGCAAUGCCGCGUGAGUGAUGAAGGCCUUAGGGUUGUAAAGCUCUUUUACCAGGGAUGAUAAUGACAGUACCUGGAGAAUAAGCUCCGGCUAACUCCGUGCCAGCAGCCGCGGUAAUACGGAGGGAGCUAGCGUUGUUCGGAAUUACUGGGCGUAAAGCGUGCGUAGGCGGUGAUUCAAGUCAGAGGUGAAAGCCUGGAGCUCAACUCCAGAACGGCCUUUGAAACUAGAUCGCUAGAAUUAUGGAGAGGUAAGUGGAAUUCCGAGUGUAGAGGUGAAAUUCGUAGAUAUUCGGAAGAACACCAGUGGCGAAGGCGACUUACUGGACAUAUAUUGACGCUGAGGUACGAAAGCGUGGGGAGCAAACAGGAUUAGGUACCCUGGUAGUCCACGCCGUAAACGAUGAUAACUAGCUGUUCGGGCUCUCAGAGCUUGAGUGGCGCAGCUAACGCAUUAAGUUAUCCGCCUGGGGAGUACGGUCGCAAGNUUAAAACUCAAAUGAAUUGACGG